CGCAUCUGUGCAUGCAGCAUAUCAAUAAGCGGAGGAAAAGAAACUAACAAGGAUUCCCUCAGUAACGGCGAGUGAAGCGGGAAGAGCUCAAAUUUGAAAUCUUGAAAGGUCACCUUUCACGAAUUGUAGUUUAAAGAAGUGUUUUCUGUUACGAUCGUAAUAUAAGUUCUUUGGAAUAGGACAUCACAGAGGGUGAGAAUCCCGUCUAUGAUUGCGAUUUGUAGCUUUGUGAUACACUUUCAAAGAGUCGGGUUGUUUGGGAAUGCAGCCCAAAACGGGAGGUAAAUUUCUUCUAAGGCUAAAUAUUGGCGAGAGACCGAUAGCGAACAAGUACCGUGAGGGAAAGAUGAAAAGAACUUUGAAAAGAGAGUUAAAUAGUACGUGGAAUUGUCAAAAGGGAAGCGUUUAACACCAGUGUUGUUUUCUGAAAAUCAACCUCUGUUAGCUUUAUGCAUGUUUGUUUAGACCUAAUCAGCUAUCUUGCAUGUUCUAUUGUUUGCAGUGGUGCACUUUUCAGUUUACAGGUCAACAUCAGUUUUUUUUACCGUAAAAAAGCUAAAGAAAGGUAGCUCAUGGCUCCGGUCGUGAGUGUUAUAGUCUUUUUCCUAUGCGGUAGGAGAGACUGAGGUCUGCAGUGUAGGCUAUUUGGCUAGAUACUCAGGUGCUAUGUGGAUAGCCAUUUCAGUAGACAACUUGUUGAUUAUGAUAUUUGUCUAUUGCAUACUCGCUUGUACUAUCAUACCUACGCUUAGGAUGUUGAAGUCAUCGUAUCGCGC
rnacentral:rRNA from 1 species